GAUGAACGCUGGCGGCGUGCUUAACACAUGCAAGUCGAACGGAAAGGCUCCUGCUUGCAGGGGUACUCGAGUGGCGAACGGGUGAGUAACACGUGGGUGAUCUGCCCUGCACUUCGGGAUAAGCCUGGGAAACUGGGUCUAAUACCGGAUAGGACCACCUUUUGGAUGGUGUGGUGUAAAGUUUUUCGGUGUGGGAUGAGCUCGCGGCCUAUCAGCUUGUUGGUGGGGUAAUGGCCUACCAAGGCGUCGACGGGUAGCCGGCCUGAGAGGGUGGACGGCCACAUUGGGACUGAGAUACGGCCCAGACUCCUACGGGAGGCAGCAGUGGGGAAUAUUGCACAAUGGGCGGAAGCCUGAUGCAGCGACGCCGCGUGGGGGAUGACGGCCUUCGGGUUGUAAACUCCUUUCGCUAGGGACGAAGCGCAAGUGACGGUAAUUGGAGAAGAAGCACCGGCUAACUACGUG
rnacentral:rRNA from 1 species